rnacentral:rRNA from 1 species
GGGUUGUGAGGUUAAGCGACUAAGCGUACACGGUGGAUGCCCUGGCAGUCAGAGGCGAUGAAGGACGUGCUAAUCUGCGAAAAGCGUCGGUAAGGUGAUAUGAACCGUUAUAACCGGCGAUGUCCGAAUGGGGAAACCCAGUGCAAUUCGUUGCACUAUCGUUAACUGAAUACAUAGGUUAACGAGGCGAACCGGGGGAACUGAAACAUCUAAGUACCCCGAGGAAAAGAAAUC